CCUGUUUGACCAUUUGUUUUCUGGAUCCCUUGUGACUGGGGGCUUCAUAAUAUUGAAUCCUUCCCCCAGUCAUUUCGGUUUUUUGCCUGCUUUUAUUGAUAUAUUCAGUGAGCUUUUUACAUACUUUUGGAUUAUCUUUAAAAACAUCUGGCACUUGAUAUUACCCCUGAGGAAGUCCCAGUUAGGGACGAAACGCGUUGGGUUAUGUCCAAGUACUGUAUUCCAUCUGUAUCCUAUGCUACUAAGGAAGAUUUGUCACGAAUCUUAAGUUUCAUCUGAACUUUCCAUCUGACAGAAAUUGUUUGUAUACAUUGUUUAUACAUUCUGUAAAAAGAUGUUAAUAUGCUCACAGAUGUUUAAUGUUAUCGUGGCUUUUAUGUAUUAAAAACUGAAAGUUGACUCUCUUAAAUCUAUUUUGAUGUGAUACACAGUACUAUCCAUUAGCGCAUUUAGACUUGUAUUGUUUGUUUUGAUAUCUUAGGGCCCCAUCUAACAGG